rnacentral:rRNA from 1 species
AUUGAACGCUGGCGGCAUGCUUUACACAUGCAAGUCGAACGGUAACAGGUUAAGCUGACGAGUGGCGAACGGGUGAGUAAUGCAUCGGAACGUGCCCGGUCGGGGGGGAUAACGCAGCGAAAGCUGCGCUAAUACCGCAUACGAUCUGAGGAUGAAAGCGGGGGACCGUAAGGCCUCGCGCGAUCGGAGCGGCCGAUGUCAGAUUAGGUAGUUGGGGGGGUAAAGGCUCACCAAGCCAACGAUCUGUAGCUGGUCUGAGAGGACGACCAGCCACACUGGGACUGAGACACGGCCCAGACUCCUACGGGAGGCAGCAGGGGGGAAUGUUGGACAAUGGGCGAAAGCCUGAUCCAGCAAUGCCGCGUGCAGGAAGAAGGCCUUCGGGUUGUAAACUGCUUUUGUACGGAGCGAAAAGGUCUCCUCUAAUACAGGGGGCUCAUGACGGUACCGUAAGAAUAAGCACCGGUUAACUACGUGCCAGCAGCCGCCGUAA